rnacentral:rRNA from 1 species
CGCAGCCGCGGUAAUUCCAGCUCCAAUAGCGUAUAUUAAAGUUGUUGCAGUUAAAAAGCUCGUAGUUGAAUUUCGGGGUUUAUCCGUUGGUCGGGGCUUUUUGGUCUGUACUGGCGUGAUGGAUUCCUACCUUCUGAAUAACCGGCAUGCCAUUAAUUUGGUGCGCCGGGGAAGCAGGACUGUUACCUUGAAAAAAUUAGAGUGCUUAAAGCAGGCUUAUGCCUGAAUACAUUAGCAUGGAAUAAUGAAAUAGGACGUUUGAUCCUAUUUUGUUGGUUUCUAGGAUCGACGUAAUGAUUAAUAGGGAUAGUUGGGGGCAUUAGUAUUCAAUUGUCAGAGGUGAAAUUCUUGGAUUUAUUGAAGACUAACUACUGCGAAAGCAUUUGCCAAGGAUGUUUUCAUUAAUCAAGAACGAAAGUUAGGGGAUCGAAGACGAUCAGAUACCGUCGUAGUCUUAACCAUAAACUAUGCCGACUAGGGGUCGGAUGAUGUUAAUUUUUUAAUGACUCAUUCGGCGCCU